AGAGUUUGAUCCUGGCUCAGAACUAACGCUGGCGGCGCGUCUUAAACAUGCAAGUCGAACGGUAGUCCUUGAGCUUGCUUAGGGAUGAGAGUGGCGAACGGGUGAGUAACACGUGGAUAAUCUGCCUCCGGGUUGGGGAUAACUGUCCGAAAGGAUAGCUAAUACCGAAUGAGAUGGUGGUUGCACAUGCAGCAGCCAUUAAAGGUGGGGACCGCAAGGCCUACUGCCUGGAGAUGAGUCCGCGGCUGAUUAGCUUGUUGGUGGGGUAACGGCCUACCAAGGCGACGAUCAGUAGCCGGCCUGAGAGGGUGAACGGCCACAUUGGGACUGAGAUACGGCCCAGACUCCUACGGGAGGCAGCAGUUAAGAAUCUUGCACAAUGGGCGCAAGCCUGAUGCAGCGACGCCGCGUGAAUGAUGAAGGCUUUAGGGUUGUAAAGUUCAGUAAGCAGGGAAGAAUAGGCGCCGGGUAAUAUUCGGUGUGAUGACGGUACCUGCCUAAAGCCCCGGCUAACUACGUGCCAGCAGCCGCGGUAAUACGUAUGGGGCGAGCGUUGUUCGGAAUUAUUGGGCGUAAAGGGCGUCUAGGCGGGGAUUUAAGUUAGGUGUGAAAGCUAUGGGCUCAACCCAUAAACUGCAUCUAAAACUGGAUCUCUUGAGUUCGGGAGAGGAGAGCGGAAUUCCAGGUGUAGCGGUGAAAUGCGUAGAUAUCUGGAGGAACACCGGUGGCGAAGGCGGCUCACUGGACCGUAUCUGACGCUGAGGUGCGAAAGCUAGGGUAGCAAACGGGAUUAGAUACCCUGGUAGUCC
rnacentral:rRNA from 1 species